GACGAACGCUGGCGGCGUGCUUAACACAUGCAAGUCGAACGGAAAGGCCCUGCUUUUGUGGGGUGCUCGAGUGGCGAACGGGUGAGUAACACGUGAGUAAACUGCCCUUGACUUUGGGAUAACUUCAGGAAACUGGGGCUCAUACCGGGUAUGAGCUCCUGCUGCAUGGUGGGGGUUGGAAAGUUUCGGCGGUUGGGGAUGGACUCGCGGCUUAUCAGCUUGUUUGUGUGGUAGUGGCUUACCAAGGCUUUGACGGGUAGCCGGCCUGAGAGGGUGACCGGCCACAUUGGGACUGAGAUACGGACCAGACUCCUACGGGAGGCAGCAGUGGGGAAUAUUGCACAAUGGGCGGAAGCCUGAUGCAGCAACGCCGCGAGCGGGAUGACGGGCUUCGGGUUGUAAACCGCUUUCGACUGUGACGAAGCGUGAGUGACGGUAAUGGGUAAAGAAGCACCGGCUAACUACGUG
rnacentral:rRNA from 1 species